GAUGAAGAACGUAGCAAAAUGCGAUAAGUAAUGUGAAUUGCAGAAUUCAGUGAAUCAUCGAAUCUUUGAACGCACAUUGCGCCCGCUGGUAUUCCGGCGGGCAUGCCUGUUCGAGCGUCAUUUCAACCCUCAAGCCCCCGGGUUUGGUGUUGGGGAUCGGCUCUGCCUUCUGGCGGUGCCGCCCCCGAAAUACAUUGGCGGUCUCGCUGCAGCCUCCAUUGCGUAGUAGCUAACACCUCGCAACUGGAACGCGGCGCGGCCAUGCCGUAAAACCCCAACUUCUGAAUGUUGACCUCGGAUCAGGUAGGAAUACCCGCUGAACUUAAGCAUAUAAUAAGCGGAGGA
rnacentral:misc_RNA from 1 species